ACGAAGGGGGCUAGCGUUGUUCGGAAUUACUGGGCGUAAAGCGCACGCAGGCGGUCUGCUCAGUCAGGAGUGAAAGCCCCGGGCUCAACCCGGGAAAUGCUCUUGAUACUGGCAGGCUUGAAUCAUGGAGAGGGUGGGGGAAUUCCGAGUGUAGAGGUGAAAUUCGUAGAUAUUCGGAAGAACACCAGUGGCGAAGGCGCCUACCUGGCCAUGUAUUGACGCUCAUGUGCGAAAGCGUGGGGAGCAAACAGGA
rnacentral:rRNA from 1 species